rnacentral:lncRNA from 1 species
CUGAGGUCCCUUGGUGUGCUCAGCCCAGAGCAGAGGGGCUGAGGGGAGGCCUGAUGGCGGCUGCAGCUCCUCACAGGGAGCGGAGGGGCAGCGCUGAGCUCUGCUCUGUGUGACAGCGACAGGGCCCGAGGGAACGGCAUGGAGCUGUGUCAGGGGAGGGGCAGCUGGGGGUUAGGGACAGGGUCUGCACCACAGGGUGGUGGGCAUGGAACGGGCUGCCCGGGGCUGUGGGUACGGCCUCAAGUGCCAGAGUUCAAGGAGUGUGUGGACAGCGCUCUCAGACACAGGGUUUGAUAUUUGUGUGGUCCUGUGUCAAGCCAGGAGUUGGACUCAGGGACCUUUGUGGGUCCCUUCAAACUCGGGAUAUUCUAUGAUUCAAGGUGUGUACACAGCUGACCAUGCAGACCACCAGCUCCUGGACUGAUUCACCUUAUUUCUGCUCUUUCUUCUUACUCACACCUCAUAACAUGUGCCUAUGGCCUUCUACAAAAACUAGCUGGCAGCUCCUCCUGUCUAAGAUAGCACAAGAAGGCUCAGAGGCACUUCAGGCAUAGAAGUUACAUCCUUCUGUGCUCCGAAAACUUUCUCAGCAGGAACUUUUUGUCUUGCCAGGCAUGCUUACAACAAAUACGCUCAGAAGUAUAAAGAUGUGAUCGUAACCCAAGAUCCAGAUCCACUGGUGGAUGACCAUCACUAAGACAGCGCUAACCAAAACAGCUGAAAGAGUUCUGAGAGAUUCCAUUGCAAACCAUCAGCGUGACAUCAGUGCCAUAGGGGUGGUAGGGCAAAGGCCUGGCCCUGGGCAAAGCCGGGCAGCACUGCUGCCGGGGAGGCAGUGUGCGAGCGCAUGCAGACAGCAGAAAACGCCCGUGAAUCAUUUUGUUCCUUUUCGUCUUAGAAACGGUCAUCUUCCUAUUCCAAGCUGUACAAACACACAGCCGAUUAAAAGUUCUUGCUCAAAACUCGGUGCCAAAAAUAGCCUCCCGCAUAAGAUUCUUCGCUGCUCCGGGUUGCUAUUUAUUUAUUAUUAUUAUUAUUCUUUUUUUUCCGGGGAAUUUUCCAUCAUCAAAAGCCCAAGGCAGAAACAAUAGCAAACACUGCCUGCCGGCUUUCAGUUAAAAAUAAGCAACAAAGGCAUUCCUGUUCCUUCCAGAAACAAUAGGAAAAUCUCGGCGAUUAAAGAAAAAUAAGAGAGAGAGAGAGAGAGAGAGAGAGAGAGAGAAGGAGGGAGAGAUCCGCACAGCCGCGUCCACGCCUCAGCCGGGGGCUCAGCUCGGC